ensembl:antisense Gm6288 predicted gene 6288
AGUGCUCCCCGCGCUGUUGCGCGUCACACCCGGCUCUCAGACACUGGCUCCGGGGCACCGGCUACGCAACCACCCCCCUCCCGGUGACUGCUGGCCCAGGAACCCACGUUGGGGCAGCCCACACACCACCCGGCGUCCAGGACCUCCUCACCGGAAGUUGAUUUCUACCUAGGCCCGCCCAGGCCUGCGCGCGGCGCUCCAGGCAUCCGCGGGCGCAUCACAUGACCCCCCAAGAGGAGGCCAGCUGAGCUUCAUCUGAAGAGAGACCUGACCUGUGAAGUGGAUUGACCUGAUAUACACUGGCCUGACCAUCCUCAAAAACUACAUCAUGUCUUAUCUUUUGUCCUGAGCCAAAACAAACUAUUCAACAGAUAUUCCUCCUAACAGAGAUUCAGCUGGCUAGGCCACAAGAAGAACCUCCUAGUUGAGUGAUUCUCAGAACUCGAAUCUACCACGAGAAGAGCCUUUGCCUCUUACAAACAACCAAAAUGUGAGAACUGAAUAAAGCACCCGGCACUAUGACAUGCUCAAGAAAUGUUUGACGUGAUGUCUGGACCUAUUGGCUUAGCGGAACUCUCAAGUUCCUGAACGUGCCCAAGCUGAAAGCUUCUCUAAACCACUGGAUUUUAAAGAUCUUCAGCGCUAGGACUGUAGCACUUGUAAUCAACUCUCUCAUAGCAGUUCGUUCAUAUUCCACUAAAAACAGUUGAUUUUUAGCUGUUCCACAUCCUUACAGCAAAGCUGUCAGUCAACAUCUUUUCCUGAAGGGAA